UACGUAGGGUGCAAGCGUCGUCCGGAAUUAUUGGGCGUAAAGAGCUCGUAGGCGGUCUGUCGCGUCGGAUGUGAAAAUCAGGGCUCAACCCUGGACCUGCAUUCGAUACGGGCAGACUAGAGUUCGGUAGGGGAGACGUGGAAUUCCUGGUGUAGCGGUGAAAUGCGCAGAUAUCAGGAGGAACACCGGUGGCGAAGGCGGGUCUCUGGGCCGAAACUGACGCUGAGGAGCGAAAGCGUGGGGAGCAAACAGG
rnacentral:rRNA from 1 species